GACCGCGUAGCUCAGCUGGAAGAGCAUUGGGCUAGUAUGCCAAAGGUCGUAGGUUCGAAUCCCGCCGUGGCCA
rnacentral:tRNA from 1 species